GGGGCUGUAAUGGUUUCGACAUUAUUUAGUUUUUUAUUUAUGAUGCAGGUCGAAAAAUAUUAUUUCGUUAAAAAAUAUACAUUUAAAAUAAAUGCAAACAACAUUUUAUCUUUUAACCGUAAAACUUUAAGUAUUGCUUAAAAUUAUUUAUGGAAAUUUUUAAAAGUAUCCAUCUUUUAAAAAUUUGUAAAAUUUAUGGAUACUGUAAAACUAGACUUUUCUAGAUCUUUUAGUUUAAAUUAUUAUUUAAACUUCUUUUAUUUGUUUUUUAAAAACUAAACCUGUGAAUGAAUAAAUAAAAAAAAAUUUAAUGGACGUGGGUUCAAUUCCCAUCAGCUCCA
rnacentral:tmRNA from 1 species